GGUUGUAUAGUGUAGCGGUCAUCACAUCGGAUUCUGAUUCUUCCAAUCAGAAGUUUCCGGUAACCCCGGUUCGAAUCCGGGUACGACCU